UGCCAAUACUGCCACACUUUGUUAUGGAAACCACAAUCUAAAUUCUGGAACCACCUAGACAUCCCCCAUCAUGCUAUCCAUUCAUUCGGAACACUAACAUACUUCAUAGCAACCAAUUUGCUCAAAGAACUAAGGGGAAAGCCUAAGACACUUGAAUGUUUAGUUUGAUAAAGCCCUCAACAUUAAAACCCUCAACAUUACUGAAGACUUCAAAGAGAUUGCUUUAUGGCACAGAGGAACUGACUUCUCAUUAGGCAAAGGAAAUUUAGAGCCAAACUUGCAGUCCAUCCUGGGAACUGUAAAGAUAUACUUCUGUGUGUGUGUAUGAGUUCAUUUUCACGCUGCUGAUAAAGACAUACUCGAGACUGGGAAGAAAAAGAGGUUUAACUGGACUUACAGUUCCACAUGGCUGAGAGGCCUUAGAAUCGUGGUGGGA
rnacentral:lncRNA from 10 species